UACGGAGGGGGCUAGCGUUGUUCGGAAUUACUGGGCGUAAAGCGCACGUAGGCGGCUUUGUAAGUUAGAGGUGAAAGCCCAGAGCUCAACUCUGGAACUGCCUUAAGACUGCAUCGCUUGAAUCAUGGAGAGGUCAGUGGAAUUCCGAGUGUAGAGGUGAAAUUCGUAGAUAUUCGGAAGAACACCAGUGGCGAAGGCGACUGACUGGACAUGUAUUGACGCUGAGGUGCGAAAGCGUGGGGAGCAAACAGG
rnacentral:rRNA from 1 species